rnacentral:tRNA from 1 species
ACAAAAAUUCGUAAAAAUUUGAUUUUUACAAUGACAGACAUGUCUUACUUUA